rnacentral:lncRNA from 1 species
GGUUAGUUCAUAUUGUUGUUCCACCUAUAGGGUUGCAGUUCCCUUUAGCUCCUUGGGUACUUUCUCUAGCUCCUCCAUUGGGAGCCCUGUGAUCCAUCCAUUAGCUGACUGUGAUCAUCCACUUCUGUAUUUGCUAGGCCCCGGCAUAGUCUCACAAGAGAGAGCUAUAUCUGGGUCCUUUUAGCAAAAUUUUGCUAGUGUGUGCAAUGGUGUCAGCGUUUGGAAGCUGAUUAUGGGAUGGAUCCCUGCAUAUGGCAAUCACUAGAUGGUCCAUCUUUUUUGUCACAGCUCCAAAUUUUGUCUCUGUAACUAGACUAUUCUUAAAGCAGAGUAAUAGUACAUGCCAAAGGCCAGCACAGCUCAAGAGCCAGAGUCAUAGGACAGUGCUACUUUAUCGUCCUAGUGAGCUUGCAGUGGCAGGAAGUUGCAGUGGCAGGAAGUUGCAGUGGCAGGAAGUUGCAGUGGCAGGAAGUUGCAGUGGCAGAAAGCAGGCAGGUGGCUAGCACUCCCGGGGAUUUGCAGCUUGCUCAUGGGACUCCUAAGCAAUAUGCCUCUCGGCAUAUCAGUUAAGUAGAGCAGCUGCAAAAGGGGAAGUUCAUCCAUGGUUAGGUCAUUUGUUUUUCAAAAGCCCUACCUGGUAUACAUAACCUUCCCCAUUGAAAAUAUGAGGAUUCUUAAGCGAAUAGGGCCUAAGUUAUGGGAUCAUGGUCAGAGCCAGGACACAGACUCAACUCUUGCUAACACCAGAGCCCUGCCUACCACCUUCCCAUCCUAGUGGGAGGGAAAGCGUCCACGGUGGUACAAGACAUAAAUAGCCAAGCCAUGAGUUCUGUGUGCCUGAAACCUAUGUGUGUUUGUUUCUAUUCUUGAUUUCUAGACAUUCUCUAAAACCUUAAAUCAGCAUCCCAAGCAAUAGCCUUACCAAUAAAACGUCCUGACAAGAUUGUAGGCUACUUUUGUUGUCCCAGUAUGAGUGCUAUGGGCUGCUUGUGACUCUUACAGUGGAUAUGUACCUACUGUGUCUCUGAGGAUUUCUAUCUUUUUUUGUUUGGUUGGUUGGCUUUAUUGUUUGUAGAACAUGAUUUUAGUAUUUUCAACUGUUAAUAUUCAACAAACAGAAUCAUUUUAAGAUAUAUUUUGUUGUAUUUCAUUUCUGAUUUUAUUAAUUUAGAUACUGUCUUUGUGCCCUCUGGUUAGUCUGGCUAAGGGUUUAUCUACCUUGUUGAUUUUUCUCAAAAAAACAGCUUCUGAUUUUGAUUCUCUGUAGAGUUGGUUUUGUUUCUACUUGGUUGAUUUCAGCCCUGAGUUUGAUUAUUUCCUGCCAUCUACUCCUCUAGGGUGUAUUUGCUUCUUUUUGUUCUAGAGCUUUCAGGUGUGCUGUCAAGCUCCUGUAAGCUCUCUCCAAUUUCUUUUGGGAGAACUUAGAGCUAUGAGUUUUCCUCUUACAACUGCUUUCCUUGUGUCCCAUAAAUUUUGGUAUGAUGUGUCUUCAUUUUCAUUAAAUUCUAAAAAGCGUUUCAUUUUUUUUCUUUUUUUCUUCCUUGACUGAGUUAUCAUUGUGUAGAGCAUUGUUCAGCUUCCACGUGUAUGUGUGCUUUCUGUUGUUUUUAUUGAUAUUUAAGACCAGCCUUAGUCUGUGGUGAUCUGAUAGUGUGCAUGGAAUAAUUUCAAUCUUCUUGUAUCUGUUGAGGCCUGUUUUGUGACUGAUUAUAUGGUCAGUUUUGGAGAAGGUACCAUGAGGUGCUGAGAAGAAGGUAUAUUCUUUUGCUUUAGGAUGAAAUGUUCUAUAGAUAUUGUUAGAUCCGUUUGGUUAAUAAGUUCUGUUAGUGUCUCUGUUUAGUUUCUGUUUCCCUGAUCUGUCUAUUCCUGAAAGUGGGGUGUUGAAGUCUCCCACUAUUAUUGUAUGGGGUACAAUGUGUGCUUUGAGCUUUAGUAAAGUUUCUUUUAUGAAUGUGGGUGCCCUUGCAUUUGGACCAUAGAUAUUCAGAAUUGAGAGUUCUUCUUGGUUGAUUUUUCAUUUGACCAGUAUAAAGUGUCCUUCCUUAUCUUUUUUGAUAACUUUUGGUUGAAAGUUGAUUUUAUUGG